GACGAACGCUGGCGGCGUGCCUAAUACAUGCAAGUAGAACGCUGAAGAGAGGAGCUUGCUCUUCUUGGAUGAGUUGCGAACGGGUGAGUAACGCGUAGGUAACCUGCCUGGUAGCGGGGGAUAACUAUUGGAAACGAUAGCUAAUACCGCAUAAAAUUGAUUAUUGCAUGAUAAUUAAUUGAAAGAUGCAACUGCAUCACUACCAGAUGGACCUGCGUUGUAUUAGCUAGUUGGUGAGGUAACGGCUCACCAAGGCGACGAUACAUAGCCGACCUGAGAGGGUGAUCGGCCACACUGGGACUGAGACACGGCCCAGACUCCUACGGGAGGCAGCAGUAGGGAAUCUUCGGCAAUGGGGGGAACCCUGACCGAGCAACGCCGCGUGAGUGAAGAAGGUUUUCGAAUCGUAAAGCUCUGUUGUAAGAGAAGAACGGGUGUGAGAGUGGAAAGUUCACACUGUGACGGUAUCUUACCAGAAAGGGACGGCUAACUACGUG
rnacentral:rRNA from 1 species